rnacentral:rRNA from 1 species
AUUGAACGCUGGCGGCAGGCUUAACACAUGCAAGUCGAGCGAGCGGCGGACGGGUGAGUAAUGUCUGGGAAACUGCCUGCUGGAGGGGGAUAACUGCUGGAAACGGUAGCUAAUACCGCAUACCAUCAGAUGUGCCCAGAUGGGAUUAGCUAGUAGGUGCGGUAAUGGCUCACCUAGGCGACGAUCCCUAGCUGGUCUGAGAGGAUGACCCGCAACACGGGCACUGAGACACGGUGCAGACUCCUACGGGAGGCAGCAGUGGGGAAUCUUGCACAAUGGGCGCAAGCCUGAUGCAGCCAGGCCGCGUGUGUGAAGAAGGCCUUCGGGUUGUAAAGCACUUUCAGCGAGGAUGCGUUACUCGAAGAAGAAGCACCGGCUAACUCCGUGCCAGCAGCCGCGGUAAUUC